rnacentral:rRNA from 1 species
AGCAGCCGCGGUAAUUCCAGCUCCAAUAGCGUAUAUUAAAGUUGCUGCAGUUAAAAAGCUCGUAGUUGAAUUUCGGGGUUAGUAGGUUGGUCAUGCCUCUGGUAUGUACUGGUCUCACUGAUUCCUCCUUCCUGAUGAACCUUAAUGCCAUUUAUUUGGUGCUUUGGGGAAUUUGGACUGUUACUUUGAAAAAAUUAGAGUGUUUAAGCAAGCUAACGCUUGAAUACAUUAGCAUGGAAUAAUGAAAUAGGACGUUCGAUCCUAUUUUGUUGGUUUCUAGGAUUGACGUAAUGAUUAAUAGGGAUAGUUGGGGGCAUUAGUAUUCAAUUGUCAGAGGUGAAAUUCUUGGAUUUAUUGAAGACUAACUACUGCGAAAGCAUUUGCCAAGGAUGUUUUCAUUAAUCAAGAACGAAAGUUAGGGGAUCGAAGACGAUCAGAUACCGUCGUAGUCUUGACCAUAAACUAUGCCGACUAGGGAUCGGAUGAUGUUAAUUUUUUCAAUGACUCAUUCGGCGCCUUA